UACAGAGGUCCCAAGCGUUGUUCGGAUUCACUGGGCGUAAAGGGUGCGUAGGUGGCUUGGUAAGUUUGAUGUGAAAUCUCCGGGCUUAACCCGGAAAUGGCAUUGAAUACUAUUGAGCUGGAGGUUUGGAGGGGGGACUGGAAUUCUCGGUGUAGUGGUGAAAUGCGUAGAGAUCGGGAGGAACACCCGUGGCGAAGGCGGCCACCUGGGCCGACCCUGACGCUGAGGCGCGAAGGCGUGGGGAGCGAACGGG
rnacentral:rRNA from 1 species